CGUAAUAUUCUUACUACACAAACUGUUUUAAAAGGAUAUUAUAUUUUGCUGUGUUGCUCAGUAGGACUUUGAAUCUUCUCGAAACAUGUUUUGACAUGCAAGAGAGGAUAGGAUUCGUCUCCCUUUCACAUCAUGUGCAGCUGCAGGAAGGUGCAUUACAGGAAGAGCGUUCUCCAUGAAAGAGAAAGGGCAUGCAAAAUCAAGAGCUGCUGAACUGGAUUUUCAGAAGUGACUCCAUAACUAUAUGCCGGGGAUGGGCUGUACUGCAAGGCUGUGUCUGUGGGGUGAGAGUGCAGAGCCUGGUGGAGACUGACAGCCACUAACUUCAAUUAACUUUUGCCUGUGGCAUCUGGAAGAAGGAUCAACAAUAAUCCAUGUCCUCCAGUUGCAGGAGAAGUGACACUGCAGUAUUCAGAUGCUUUGGAACCCAGAGGGAAAAACAGGAGGAAGAGUACCCCCAGAGCAAUGGUUAAAAUAUUCAGCUGAAGAAGUGGACCCAAAAUAACAUACGUACAGUGUCGUAUAUAUAGGAUUUGCUACACAGCAUUUGUAGAUGCCUUUGAGCUAAGAAUGUCCUACAGAUUUUGAUUAAAGGUCACUAGUCCUAAAGGAGUUUGUGCUCGUAGACCAGUAAUCUCUGUGUCCACUACUAUUUGUAAGACCUGGGAAGGUAGACAUUCCUGAUAAAUUGGGCUUUACUGCUCUGAUGAUUGCUUCUCACAAAAGACAUGACAGACCUGUGAAAAUAUUCAUGUAAAAAGGAACAGAUGUACAUCAGAAGAAUAGCAGGGCAAAAAAGAGUUUAAGGAAUUUUCUGUAGACUGGAUGGUAACAUCCAAAUAAUGUCAUUUUUGGUCUACUGUUCUGUAGUUUUGCUGGUCACCUGGAUAUUGUUAAAUAUCUGAAAUCACAAGGCGCUUCUUGGAAAGCCAGAGAUCUGGGAGACUGUACAGCUUUGCAUUAGGCUGUAGAUGGAGGACGCUGUGAUGUUGCUGAAAGGAUGAUGAAUGAUGCCUGUAAGCCAAGAGACUUUGGAGAGAAAGGGCAAGGUGCAAGUUAGCACAUCUCCAAGAACUGUACUGCGCUGAUGCUUGAGGAACCUGGGAAAGGAUCUCGUUUCUAAUGUGUCCGGUUCUGCAAAAUGCUGAAUGUUAUGCUGCUCCUUCAAUAAUACGCAGUUACGGACCUCACGUAUGCAGCAUAUAAUUGACGAUGACAUUUGAUUAAUUUUUUAAAAAUAUGGUCUCUUAAUCUGAUCUGGGGUUAGAUCAACAUUGUGAACAGAUUUAUUACCUUCAGGUUUAGUAAGUACUGGUCUUUCUGUAACAGGUAAACGUUAAAGGUAAAUGCUUAGAAUGGGCACCACUGAUGAGAGUUUCUGCAGUAGAUGGAAAGAAGGAUGUAGCAUCUUUUAAUAAGAGCUGAAGCAGAUGUGAAUAUUAAAGGAGAUGUGGAUAUUAAAGAUGGCAAGACACCUUCGAUGGUAUUUCUGAAAUGACGUAUUCCUUUCUGAGAGAUUAUGAAGGAAGAAAAAGAGACCCUGUGAAGAGACCCCCCCAGUGACACGUGAAAUACAGAGAGACUUAACAGAUCCACGUUCAUGUCUAACAGGAUGAGUUUUCAGAUUCUCUUACACCUUGGAAAUGUGUUUGAAAUUUUGUUUGGCAAUAUACAGAUCAUAAUUAUAACAAUAUUAAGUUUUCAGCUCAGCUAUUGAGAACAUCCCUAUGAAUGUUAAACUGAGAAACAGUCCUUUGCAUCAUGUCUAUUACAACCAGAUGUCUCUGAUGCCUAAUGCCUGUUAAAUCCAUGUAUUAUUUUUGAGCCCGGAUACAGCCUCAGAGUCGCUACGCAGAGUCCUCUGCGGUCAUCUGAAAUCCCAGUGAAGUCUGCGAGACUUCAUAUGUGCCGAGGACUGUAUGGUAGCAGAUGGCACCAGGUGAUGCACGCUAUCAAUGCGUGUUGACAUCUGGCAGUAACAAUCACGUAACUCUCUUAAAAUGUUCUUUAUUAAACUUACAGGUGGCGAUAUUAAAGAAUCCUGAAGAACUUGUUCCGUUGUUGCUGGAGAAGGGAGCACACGCUACUGUUAAAAAUGAGGUCGCUAAAGUAAACGAAGUUUCCCCCUUCUUUUAUUUUUUAACUGUUCAGUUGAAUAUGCUGCUGUUUUUGUCUUUCAUUAUGGUAAAGAACUGGAAAGAGCUAGAAGUUUUCACAGGCAGGUAUGAAUAGUUUCUGUAUCUUGAUUUCCCGGGUUUGGGUUUAUUUUUUAAACAUAUUUGCUUCUCCAUUUUUUUGAUUUUUGUUUGUUUGUUUAGAGCUUGGUUAAUUUGUUAGAAGACAAGAAGAAAAAGCUAUGAGAAAAACUGCUAUUUUCCUACCUUGCAACUCAGAGAUGGGUAAUUCAAAUAAAUGAAAGGGAGUGUUUUUGCACCAGGAAAGUGGCAGUAUGAAGACUGGCCCUCCAGUUAAGCACUGUAACUUGCCUUUUUUUACCUGUAGCGUUCAGUUUUCCAGGUACUUGGCAUUCAUUAAAAUGUGGAGCUCAGCUGCUUUUUCAGUAGUCCUUCUGUUUUUAAGCAUAUCUGUAGGUUUACAAUCAUUGUUUCCUUACAUUGAAAACAAAACCCUUUUGCAUCUAGAGUUAGUUGUAAAGGAAAAUAUUCACAUACACAAACAUGCUUUUUGAUAUUCCCCUGAGAAUAUUGUAAAUCCUCUUUACGCUUCUGGAAAUGAAAUGCUGGAAAUUUUUUUCUCCUCUAAUGCUUCCCUCCAUUCUUCAAGACCUUUCUGUCUUCAUGACUGUCCCGCUAGUAAACAAAAUUAGCAAUUCUUACUGAAGCUUGUUAAUAUUCCUCUUUAAAUUUUCCAAGGCGAUGUGUCUUUGCCUCAGAUCAUGAGUACAGUGCUUGUGCAGCACAUUUAGCUUCUGUUCUAGGAAUAAAGAAUACAUUUAAGCUUGUCAGGCAA